rnacentral:rRNA from 1 species
AUGGGCAACUCCGGGAGCACAGCUAGCUACAACUUUGGUUUCAAGAAUACCUACUCGAAGCAACAUUGCUUGAUUCCUCUUCAGGAUCUACUUAAAUCAUCUGCUUUCCUAGUUGAUGAUAGCUGUGUUUUUGGUGUGGAGAUACUAAAAAUUGAUGUCUCUUCUCCUGAAAAGAAGGCUGUUGUGGUUCAUAAGAAGGCUACCACAGUUCAGAAUAUCUUUGUCCAGAAGAAGGGGUUCAUUAAAGGGACAUACACUUGGACCAUGGACAAUUUUCUUGAAUUGGACUUGAAGCACUUCGUCAGUUCUCCUACAUUUGAAGUUGGCGGACAUAAAUGGUACGUCGGCAUGUAUCCACGUGGUAACAAGCACAGCACUGAUUGCCUCAGCUUGUACUUAUACCUGGAUGCCUCGGAUGAGCUCCAUCUCGAAUCCAAGAAGGUGGUUCUAAUGACUCUCUCCAUCCUGGAUCAAAAGAAUGGGAAACACUUGACUGUAACUUCAGGUCUCUUGGUGUUUACGGGUACACACAGAUGGGGGUGGCCUGAUUUCCUUGGACUCGAGAAACUCAAGGACCCGUCGGGAGGCUAUGUUGUGGGAUCGAGCUGUGUUGUGAAGGCAGAUCUUACCAUCGUUGGUUCAUCCAAUGAUGGCUAG